CAUAGCGACUAUCGUGGCAUAUCAAUAAGCGGAGGAAAAGAAACUAACAAGGAUUCCCUUAGUAACGGCGAGUGAAGCGGGAAGAGCUCAAAUUUGAAAUCUUCAAGGGUUCUACCUUUACGAAUUGUAGUUUAUAGAAGUGUUUUCUGUUAGUAGGAGUGGCAAAAGUUCUUUGGAAUAGGACAUCAUAGAGGGUGAGAAUCCCGUAUUUGGUCAUUCUUCUAGCGUUGUGAUACACUUUCAACGAGUCGGAUUGUUUGGGAAUGCAGUCCAAAAUGGGUGGUAAAUUUCAUCUAAAGCUAAAUAUUGGCGAGAGACCGAUAGCGAACAAGUACCGUGAGGGAAAGAUGAAAAGAACUUUGAAAAGAGAGUUAAACAGUACGUGAAAUUGUCGAAAGGGAAGCGUUUGACACCAGUGUUGUUUAGUUGAAAAUCAAUUAAAUAUUUUUCGAUUUUAAGUAGUAUUGACCUUAUCAGCUUGCUGCUUUUUUCUCGGAAAUUAUUUAAUGCACUUUUCAGUUAACAAGUCAACAUCAAUUUCUUUUGUUGUAAAAAGGUAAGAGGAAGGUGGCUUGCGCUUCGGCUCAAGUGUUUAUAGCCUUUUACCCCUGCAAUCGGAGAGAUUGAGGUCUGCAGCGUAGAUCCUUCGGGGUUAGAUACAUUUGUGCUAAGCUAUAGCCUUGUAUAGACAACUUGUUGACUAUGCUCAGUCAUGUAGCUUACUCGCUUAUGCUAUUUUACCUACGCUUAGGAUGUUGAUAUGCAUGACUGAUAU
rnacentral:rRNA from 1 species